UAGGGAAUCUUCCGCAAUGGGCGAAAGCUUGACGGAGCAACGCCGCGUGAGUGAUGAAGGUCUUCGGAUCGUAAAACUCUGUUAUUAGGGAAGAACAAAUGUGUAAGUAACUAUGCACGUCUUGACGGUACCUAAUCAGAAAGCCACGGCUAACUACGUGCCAGCAGCCGCGGUAAUACGUAGGUGGCAAGCGUUAUCCGGAAUUAUUGGGCGUAAAGCGCGCGUAGGCGGUUUUUUAAGUCUGAUGUGAAAGCCCACGGCUCAACCGUGGAGGGUCAUUGGAAACUGGAAAACUUGAGUGCGGAAGAGGAGAGUGGAAUUCCAUGUGUAGCGGUGAAAUGCGCAGAGAUAUGGAGGAACACCAGUGGCGAAGGCGACUUUCUGGUCUGUAACUGACGCUGAUGUGCGAAAGCGUGGGGAUCAAACAGG
rnacentral:rRNA from 1 species